rnacentral:rRNA from 1 species
GUGGGGGGGGGGUGGCUUACCAUGCAGUCGACGAUGAAGCCCAGCUUGCUGGGUGGAUUAGUGGCGAACGGGUGAGUAACACGUGAGUAACCUGCCCUUAACUCUGGGAUAAGCCUGGGAAACUGGGUCUAAUACCGGAUAGGAGCGCCUACCGCAUGGUGGGUGUUGGAAAGAUUUAUCGGUUUUGGAUGGACUCGCGGCCUAUCAGCUUGUUGGUGAGGUAAUGGCUCACCAAGGCGACGACGGGUAGCCGGCCUGAGAGGGUGACCGGCCACACUGGGACUGAGACACGGCCCAGACUCCUACGGGAGGCAGCAGUGGGGAAUAUUGCACAAUGGGCGCAAGCCUGAUGCAGCGACGCCGCGUGAGGGAUGACGGCCUUCGGGUUGUAAACCUCUUUCAGUAGGGAAGAAGCGAAAGUGACGGUACCUGCAGAAGAAGCACCGGCUAACUACGUGCCAGCAGCCGCGGUAAUACGUAGGGUGCGAGCGUUAUCCGGAAUUAUUGGGCGUAAAGAGCUCGUAGGCGGUUUGUCGCGUCUGUCGUGAAAGUCCGGGGCUUAACCCCGGAUCUGCGGUGGGUACGGGCAGACUAGAGUGCAGUAGGGGAGACUGGAAUUCCUGGUGUAGCGGUGGAAUGCGCAGAUAUCAGGAGGAACACCGAUGGCGAAGGCAGGUCUCUGGGCUGUAACUGACGCUGAGGAGCGAAAGCAUGGGGAGCGAACAGGAUUAGAUACCCUGGUAGUCCAUGCCGUAAACGUUGGGCACUAGGUGUGGGGACCAUUCCACGGUUUCCGCGCCGCAGCUAACGCAUUAAGUGCCCCGCCUGGAGAGUACGGCCGCAAGGCUAAAACUCAAGGAGAAUUUGACGGGAAGAC